CCUGUCAACUUUCGAUGGUAUUUUCUACGCCUACCAUGGUGACCAUGGGUAACGGGAAAUCAGGGUUUGAUUCCG